rnacentral:rRNA from 1 species
CGCGGCCUAUCAGCUUGUUGGUGAGGUAGUGGCUCACCAAGGCUUUGACGGGUAGCCGGCCUGAGAGGGCGACCGGCCACAUUGGGACUGAGAUACGGCCCAGACUCCUACGGGAGGCAGCAGUGGGGAAUAUUGCACAAUGGGCGGAAGCCUGAUGCAGCGACGCCGCGUGCGGGAUGACGGCCUCCGGGUUGUAAACCGCUUUCAACUGUGACGAAUUUUGACGGUAGCAGUAGAAGAAGCACCGGCUAACUACGUGCCAGCAGCCGCGGUGAUACGUAGGGUGCAAGCGUUGUCCGGAUUUAUUGGGCGUAAAGGGCUCGUAGGCGGCCUAUUGCGUCGGGAGUGAAAACCUGCGGCUUAACCGCGGGCUUGCUUUCGAUACGGGUAGACUUGAGGGGGGUAGGGGAGAACGGAAUUCCUGGUGGAGCGGUGGAAUGCGCAGAUAUCAGGAGGAACACCAGUGGCGAAGGCGGUUCUCUGGACCCUUCCUGACGCUGAGGAGCGAAAGCGUGGGGAGCAAACAGGCUUAGAUACCCUGGUAGUCCACGCUGUAAACGGUGGGCACUAGGUGUGGGAUCCUUUCCAUGGGUUCUGUGCCGUAGCUAACGCAUUAAGUGCCCCGCCUGGGGAGUACGGA